AGAAAAAAAAAAAAAGAAAAGAAACAUACAAAUUUAUUGUAUUUAAUAAAUAUAUGACAAGGGGAGAAGCAUUUAUUUGUAUGUCUAGGCAAAGAUAUUACCAUAUUGAAAUAGUCACAAAGAUGAAAAGCUAAGUUAAUUAUUAUAGAUUUUGUUUUUUAUCAAUGGUGAUUUCUCAUUAUAUUAUUUUUUUUUCACUAUGAUUCUUUCACUAGAAUGAUAGCCACAUCUAGAUUUUUAUCUCAUAUGAGAGAGAAGCUCUAGCUAAUUAUAAUGACACAAAGGAGGCAUAUGGUAAUGGAGAGGGGUGAACGAUAUAGGGAAUUUUGGUGCAAUGUAUAUGUUUUAACAGCUUAUUUCGUUGCUUGGAAGCAACAUGGUAGGAUCUUAACCAUUGACAAUCUUCAGAAAGGAGAAUGCCAUAGCUAAUAGCUGCUAAAAAUACAGCAGUAUAUCAGUGCAAAAACUAUGUUUAUUGAGAUGCUUUUAGCUAUAAAUUUAUGGGAGUGGCUUGCUGAUUUAGGACAGCUUGUAAGACUGAAUAUGAGGCUGGAUGUUAGGUUAUUAAAGAUAGAAUAAAUAGAAAUUUAGGUGGGUGAUUAGGGUUUGUAAAAAGUUGGGAUUAAACAAGAAAGUUUCUCGAAGUGUUGUCUCAAACAGUGAUUAAAAAAUAAAAAGAUAAGUUGAUAUUUUUGGUCAAUUAUAUAUUUGUUUUGCUAUUUUUUCCUAAACAGUUGGAUUUUUUUGGUCUCUUUUUUUUAAAGAUUGAUGCUAUGGAUGGAGAUUGUUAACUUUGAUCAAUUUUGUUACAUUGUGCUAAUUUGUUAUGAAUCUAUGAUCUUAAUUUUGAAAAUUUUCUUGCAAAUUUUAUUUUUGUAUGUCUGUGCAAUAUUAGAUGCAUGCUUGUGCCUAGGCUCAAGGACCCCUUUGUGCCUUAGUGUGUCUUGUACCUUUAAUGAUAAUGUGUGCCACUAUCUGAGUCGAUCCUUCGCCUACUAAAGGUCUUUGCAAUAUUUCCAAGAUGUUUCUUUUAUUUUGGAUACUGAUAUUUGCAUGUAUGCGCAAAUCUGUCUUUUCUUGCAAAGGUCUUGAUCAUUAACUUUAAUGUAUUUUAUUUUAUGUAGAAAGAUUCUUUAUCUUAUGAACGGUUUUUCAGUGAUUAGCAUACUUAU
rnacentral:misc_RNA from 1 species